rnacentral:snoRNA from 1 species
CUGCUGCUAACAUUUCAGAAGCAAGUAAAAAGUGUCCUUCCACUUUCUGUCUAUCUGACUGGCAGCCAAGAUUGAAUAGAUGAAUAUGGGG